UUUUAUAAGAUCACCCCCUAUGUCUUUUAGUGGUUAACAGUUAUUACGUACUAAACAAUCAAUGCACUAAUGGAUCUUAUAAUUUGAACUAUUCUUUUUUUUUUUUCUUUUCCCGUGCGAAUAUAAUUUAACUUUUGGGAUAUAAUUUGCAAAGGUGUCGUACGGUACAGUAAUAAUUACUCGUGUUCGUCGUACGUUACUGUGGUUAAGUGUGUUCGGAGUACUCCGAUUACUAUAGAUAGGGUCUAGCUAGUAAUAAGUAUCUGAUGAUACUAAUCUAAUAGUCCAUUUGAUUUGAAUGAAAUUGAUCACAAUCUUUUCGAAAUGAG
rnacentral:lncRNA from 1 species